rnacentral:rRNA from 1 species
UACGUAGGGGGCUAGCGUUGUCCGGAUUUAUUGGGCGUAAAGAGCGUGUAGGCGGCCAGGUAGGUCUGCUGUGAAAACUCGAGGCUCAACCUCGAGACGCCGAUGGAAACCAUCUAGCUAGAGUCCGGAAGAGGCGAGUGGAAUUCCUGGUGUAGCGGUGAAAUGAGCAGAUAUCAGGAGGAACACCAAUGGCGAAGGCAGCUCGCUGGGACGUGACUGACGCUGAGACGCGAAAGCGUGGGGAGCAAACAGG